UCCGCCAGACACUCCCCCGAAGCCAGCGAGGAUGGCUGCGCGCGCGUUUGAGCGCUCGCGCGCGGCGACCCGUCUGUCUCCUUUUUUUUUCUUUUUUAAAUGUAACCUGGUUUAUUGGGCUCUCGGCGUAUUCUUGCGUUCCUUCUGCACUGGGACAAGACACCACUGCACUAUUGGACUACGGCAAGCUGGUACCGUCCGGUGGAGCUUCAUACAGGAACUACUGCCUUACCUGCUGGUGUCACAACGUUGGAUGAACGCACAAAAAGCGCGGAACGAGCUUUUAUAUAGAGCAAAAUAAAUAUUUCAUCAUUGCACAAAA